rnacentral:misc_RNA from 1 species
UGAAGUCACUGGAGUUUGAGUGA